rnacentral:lncRNA from 1 species
AAUAGAAGCUGUAAAUCUGCUAAAAAUAUGAAAAUUACUCAUCAUACAUUUCAUAAGACAUUCUUUCAUAUUUAGAAAAUGAAAACAAAGCUGUCAAUAAACAGGACACCUACACAUAGACUUGCAUCUUGAUCUUUACAGCUAUCAUCAUUUCAUUCAGAAAAUUUAGAAAAUAAAAACAACAUUACAAUUACAAAAUAAAACAAGGAUAUUGUUAGGUGUCACAUGUGUCAAAUGUAGAGUAGGAUCUGCUUACCCUUCCAGAGCACCUGAGAUCCUCCUCAGUUUUUGAUGGGGAUUAUUUUGUUCAGU